UACGUAGGUGGCGAACGUUAUCCGGAAUUAUUGGGCGUGAAGGGUGCGUAGGUGGCAAGGUAAGUUUGAUGUGAAAUCUCCGGGCUUAACCCGGAAACUGCAUUGAAUACUAUCUCGCUCGAGAGUUGGAGGGGAGACUGGAAUACUUGGUGUAGCAGUGAAAUGCGUAGAUAUCAAGUGGAACACCAGUGGCGAAGGCGAGUCUCUGGACAACUUCUGACACUGAGGCACGAAAGCUAGGGGAGCAAACAGG
rnacentral:rRNA from 1 species